rnacentral:rRNA from 1 species
GACAGAGGGUGCAAACGUUGUUCGGAAUUACUGGGCGUAAAGCGCGUGUAGGCGGCCCUGCAAGUCGGAUGUGAAAUCCCACGGCUCAACCGUGGAAGUGCAUUCGAAACUGCAGGGCUAGAGUCCUGGAGAGGAAGGUGGAAUGCUUGGUGUAGAGGUGAAAUUCGUAGAUAUCAAGCGGAACACCGGUGGCGAAGGCGGCGACCUGGACGAUGACUGACGCUGAGACGCGAAAGCGUGGGGAGCAAACAGG